rnacentral:rRNA from 1 species
AAUGCCUAGGAAUCUGCCUGGUAGUGGGGGAUAACGUUCGGAAACGGACGCUAAUACCGCAUACGUCCUACGGGAGAAAGCAGGGGACCUUCGGGCCUUGCGCUAUCAGAUGAGCCUAGGUCGGAUUAGCUAGUUGGUGAGGUAAUGGCUCACCAAGGCGACGAUCCGUAACUGGUCUGAGAGGAUGAUCAGUCACACUGGAACUGAGACACGGUCCAGACUCCUACGGGAGGCAGCAGUGGGGAAUAUUGGACAAUGGGCGAAAGCCUGAUCCAGCCAUGCCGCGUGUGUGAAGAAGGUCUUCGGAUUGUAAAGCACUUUAAGUUGGGAGGAAGGGUUGUAGAUUAAUACUCUGCAAUUUUGACGUUACCGACAGAAUAAGCACCGGCUAACUCUGUGCCAGCAGCCGCGGUAAUACAGAGGGUGCAAGCGUUAAUCGGAAUUACUGGGCGUAAAGCGCGCGUAGGUGGUUUGUUAAGUUGGAUGUGAAAUCCCCGGGCUCAACCUGGGAACUGCAUUCAAAACUGACUGACUAGAGUAUGGUAGAGGGUGGUGGAAUUUCCUGUGUAGCGGUGAAAUGCGUAGAUAUAGGGAGG